rnacentral:lncRNA from 1 species
CGGAGCUUAGGCCGAAAUAAUUCCUUUGUGUUCCUUUAAUUUUCUGCAAUUUAUUUCUCUUCGAUUGAGGUUUUCUUAUUUCUUGAUUUGAAUAUCGUGUGGUCCUGCCUUUACAGUGGUAUCAGAGCCCCGUCCAAAGGAACAAGACACCUGGAUCUUAGAGAAACUGGUGGACCUGCAACGGUCUUGAAUUUUUGGAACUGCUGAAAACGCAGAUUGAGAACAAUACGAGUUAUUCAACUCGCUAGGUGAGAUCUUUUUUAAUUUUUCGUAAAUUAACUUUCAAAAACUUGAGUGUCCUAAAUUUUCCCUUGAUUUUUUGAUGCACCGUUGAAACCCCCUUGAGACUAAUCUUUGUCCAGUGACUCCUGCGAGGCCCCUGAAAUAUGAGAUAAAUCAAGUACGGGUGUGCACUUGGAGAAUCUUGCUGGAGAGAACUGUGAAACCUUGUAUUCAAUCUCUGUGAUUGUUGUCUGUUAAUUGAUCUUGCUUGUUUUCUUCCAAUAUUGCGAGAAUUGUGAAACUUUGUAUUACUAUGUGUUAUACUGUACUUCAAACUUGAUACAAAUUGGCAUUUCUUGACUCCCCCGUUUAAACUACUGUAAGUCCAAAUUGAUCUUUACAUGAAAAUUUGUCUG